GAUGAAGAACGUAGCGAAAUGCGAUAAGUAAUGUGAAUUGCAGAAUUCAGUGAAUCAUCGAAUCUUUGAACGCACAUUGCGCCCGCUAGUAUUCUGGCGGGCAUGCCUGUCCGAGCGUCAUUUCAACCCUCAAGCCCCCGGGCUUGGUGUUGGGGAUCGGCGAGCCUCCGCGCCCGCCGUCCCCUAAAUCUAGUGGCGGUCUCGCUGUAGCUUCCUCUGCGUAGUAGCACACCUCGCACUGGGAAACAGCGCGGCCACGCCGUUAAACCCCCAACUUCUGAACGUUUGACCUCGGAUCAGGUAGGAAUACCCGCUGAACUUAAGCAUAUCAAUAAGCGAAGGA
rnacentral:misc_RNA from 1 species